UGAAGAUAAUAUUCAAGAAAUUGUUCGAUAUGUAAGAACGGGAAAGCCAGGAAUUGAAGGAUCAAGCCCACGAUAUUCCCUCUACCUCUCUGCUAUGCUGACUCAUGGCGCCAUUAUUGGUCAUCACAAACAAGUGACUCUGCUAAUAGCCUAAUGUCAGGCUGACUUUUCAGCAAAGAAUGGCAAAGAAGAAACUAUAAUCCAAUAUCAGCUGUGAGGUACUAGACUUGUCUGAUGCUUCGAUACGAGCAAGGAAAAACUUGUUUUGUGAGGGUUCUAGUUUGUAGGAUAGUCGCUUGGUUAAUGAGGUUGAUGCUCUUAGGAUCUCGUCCUUUUGUUU